GGUUCUGGGUUAGAAUGUGGUAGCCGGCGGCGGGGAUGUACUUGCCACCGUAGCUGGAGCCGGUGAGGAAGAGAGGGCGGCGGCGGAAGGAGGGGUUGGAGGAAAGGAAGGACUGGAGGGCAGCGAAGAGGUGGCGGGCGACGGUGGGUUGAUCGCGGGGGAUGAGAUCCGGGGAGGGGGCGGUGCUGAAGCCGACGCCGAGGGGGUUUUCGAUGAAGAGGAGGCCGAAGUGGCGGUUCCAGGAGUAGGGGU
rnacentral:misc_RNA from 1 species